rnacentral:rRNA from 1 species
UACGAAGGGGGCUAGCGUUGCUCGGAACCACUGGGCGUAAAGGGUGCGUAGGCGGGUCUUUUAAGUCAGGGGUGAAAUCCUGGAGCUCAACUCCAGAACUGCCUUUGAUACUGAAGAUCUUGAGUUCGGGGAGAGGUGAGUGGAACUGCGAGUGUAGAGGUGAAAUUCGUAGAUAUUCGCAAGAACACCAGUGGCGAAGGCGGCUCACUGGCCCGAUACUGACGCUGAGGCACGAAAAGCGUGGGGGAGCAAACAGG